UCUCGACUCGUAUAUCGGUUUAGUACACGCGCCUGUCAAGGGCCUAAGACAACCCGGCCGCGCGAAAGCUGGGUUCGACUCCCAGGUCGAGAG